rnacentral:rRNA from 1 species
CGGCGUCACGAGUGGCAAUCACGUUUAUUGGGUCUAAAGCGUUCGUAGCCGGUUUAGUAAAUCUUUUGUGAAAUUGUCGGGCUCAACCUGACACCGUGCAGAAGACACUGCUAAACUAGAGACCGGGAGGGGUUAGAAGUAUUUCAGGGGGAGCGGUAAAAUGUUAUAAUCCCUGAAAGACUACCAAUGGCGAAGGCAUCUAACCAGAACGGAUCUGACGGUGAGGAACGAAGGCUAGGGGCGCGAACCGGAUUAGAUACCCGAGUAGUCC